UUUUAAAGGGAGGUGGGGGGGAAGUGUAGCUGAUUUAGGGACAAAUGUGUAAACCUAUUUUCCUAUGAAAAAUUUUAAGUGUCCCACUUGAAUAACGUAAUUCUUCAUAGAUAUUUUUUAUCUGUGGAGAAAUAGCAACCUAAUUAAUUUGCAAUGAAUUGUUUAUGUUUAGACAUAGAGUGCUAAGCCCUGCCUCUGGGAAUUAUCCAUUUUAAAGCAACCUUUUGUGCAAUUCAAGAUGAAGUUUUUAUAAGUAAUGGAAAGUGACAAUACAAUAACACUUUCUGUAUGAAAGUAUAUAUUUUAUGUGAUUUAUUCCUACUAAGUGAAAGUGCACUACUGC